GACAGAGGAUGCAAGCGUUAUCCGGAAUCACUGGGCGUAAAGCGUCUGUAGGUGGUUUAAUAAGUCAACUGUUAAAUCUUGAGGCUCAACUUCAAAAUCGCAGUCGAAACUAUUUAGACUAGAGUAUAGUAGGGGUAAAGGGAAUUUCCAGUGGAGCGGUGAAAUGCGUAGAGAUUGGAAAGAACACCAAUGGCGAAAGCACUUUACUGGGCUAUCACUGACACUGAGAGACGAAAGCUAGGGUAGCAAAUGGG
rnacentral:rRNA from 1 species